GGGAGUUUGUGCGGGUGUUAAGGUGAACUCUGCAAAUGCACUCCGGGGUGCUGCUGGGAUUAGGCCAAACUGCAUCCGGUCGUCCUGUGUUUAAAUUCGCCUUGGAAUACAUUUCCUGCAAGAACUUUAUUACAGGGGCAGUAAAGGAGCUUGCAGGCCCGAGUUCAAUCCCUGCCGCCCACAAGAUGGGAGGACACACCUGGUUCCAGUACCUUGUCCUCUAGUCCACUCUCACAGCUGUGGCUGACAUCUCACCUGUAGCUUGUCUGUCAAGCUCUCCCUAGAGCAGUCUCGGUUUGGGAAAUGAUUACCCUACACAUUCUUCGCUCCCGUGUGGAGGUGGAAGUUUUCACACUCGGAUGAACACAAAAAGCUACACGCCGCUAAGCUUUCGACCCAUGAAUCUUCAACGUCGAAAACGAGAAGAAUCGGUCUGAAGGCGUGGGGGUAAAGACUUCGCUAGAACCAAGUGCCCUGAGUUACCAUUGGCUUCACGGGGACGUGUGGACGUGAGGCCCAUUAACCUGAAAAACAAGACCGGAGGGACGCAUAUUCAAGACUUUGCAUUAAAUUAACUAGAGUUCUGGGUUCUGACCCAGAAACUGUCGCUCUCAUCAUCUCCAGAGGCUAAGGCAAGCCCCUGCCAACCCCAUUGCUAUUCCCCAUUCACCCCUUUCUUCAUCCAUAAAGUGAGGAUAACGGCCGGCCUAACUAAUUAAGAUGGUCGUGUAAAUUUAACGUCACGUUCAAAAUGCUCACGGUCACACACGGCUAUGUAGUUAGGUUUUUAGCAAACCAGCUUGUGUUGCUGCAGUACUAUUCACUGAGGGAGUGCUCGGUGGUGGGGAGCAGAGGGGUGGGGAAGGGUGGGGAAGAGAAGGUUAGAGAGAUGGCUUGCAUCUUGGAAAAAAAAUCAUGAAACUUUUCUGCUCCUCUGAUGAAAUAAAAUUCUCUGUGUGGUUUCAUUUAGUCUCUUCUUCUUCUUCUUCUUCUUCUUCUUCUUCUUCUUCUUCUUCUUCUUCUUCUUCUUCUUCUUCUUCUUCUUCUUCUUCUUCUUCUUCCUCUUC